GGCUGGUCUGAAGGUAGUGGAUUAUCUCAAUGGAUUGUUCAGUCAGUUACAGAUGGGAAGUCCUUGUUCCACUCUUCCUCUGCUUCUCACUACUGCACUAGACUAGUCUUAA
rnacentral:Y_RNA from 1 species